AUCUCUCCCUCACCGUGUUCCCCUAGGAAAAUCCACAAGAACUUCCUCGGAGGAGCCGAGAACUUCGCCCUUUUCUCUCGAACCGAAGAUGUUUGAUUCGUAGAAAUUUUUUUCUGAUCGAGCACCUUGUGCCAAGCUCGACGUCGCUCUCGGUGUCCAGAGCGCCCGCUGACCGAGCCCUCGCGCCACGAGCGUCGCCAAGGUACUAGUAGGCUACCCACCAAGGGAAUCAAGCUGGGGAGCUCCCAAUCGCGAGAUCGAACCUUUCUUCCUCAAGUCCGGCCGCCGGCUAUCGUCGUCAAUUCAUCGUUCUCGGCCGGAAGACCGGAGGAAGCCGACGUCGUCGCACUGCUGUUUUCCGCCGCCGCCGGAGCGUUCCUCGGUUCUCCAUCGCUGUCCAAGCUUCGCCGGAGCACACACGACCUCAAAUUAUUGCAUUGACAGUGAAGGAGUGAAUUAAAAUGCUAUCUAAUUUCUCAAGAUUAAGGUUUUAGAGUUAGUCUUUGAGUGAUGCGGGUUUCGAUUGCUUCUUCUAGGAUGAGAACUUAAUGGAUGAACCCUUAGUCGAUGUGCUUGUGUUUGGUAGUCAAGCUUCCGUUGUUCCCUAAUAUGUCUACUUGGCCGGUCGGCCUAUGUAUCUAUUAAGUAGUUGUAACCUGAAUUUUAUUUGCUUUAGAUGUGUUUGCUAUGUAUGUCGAUGCUUAAGAUGAAAGUGUGAAUCUAGUGCACAUCCUCGGAAUUAAAUUCACAUGAGUAUGAGUUAAGAAUAUUUGAG
rnacentral:sRNA from 1 species